rnacentral:rRNA from 1 species
UGGUGGAGUGAUUUGUCUGGUUUAUUCCGUUAACGAACGAGACCCCAACCUGCUUAAUAGGGUAGACAAGGCUUUUCUUGGACUACACUUCUUAGAGGGACUAUCGGUGUUUAGCCGAUGGAAGUUUGAGGCAAUAACA